rnacentral:rRNA from 1 species
CGUGCAUUUAUCAGACCAAAAACCGGCCGCGUCUUCGGGCGCGUUCGCCUUGGUGACUCUGGAUAACUUUGCGGAUCGCACGGUCUAGCACCGGCGACGGAUCAUUCAAGUGUCUGCCCUAUCAACUUUCGUCGGUACGGUAUUUGCCUACCGAGGUUCUUACGGGUGACGGGGAAUCAGGGUUCGAUUCCGGAGAGGGAGCCUGAGAAACGGCUACCACAUCCAAGGAAGGCAGCAGGCGCGCAAAUUACCCAUUCCCGACGCGGGGAGGUAGUGACGAAAAAUAACAAUGCAGGACUCGUUCGAGGCCCUGUAAUUGGAAUGAGUACACUUUAAAAGCUUUAACGAGUAUCCAUUGGAGGGCAAGUCUGGUGCCAGCAGCCGCGGUAAUUCCAGCUCCAAAAGUAUAUAUUUAAGUUGUUGCGGUUAAAAAGCUCGUAGUUGGAUUUUGGGCGCAGGCGGCCGGUCCGUCGCAAGGCGUGUACUGGACGUCCUGGCCUUCCCUCCGGUUCUCCGCCGGUGCUCUUGACUGAGUGUCGGCGGCGGCCGGAACGUUUACUUUGACAAAAUUAGAGUGUUCAAAGCAGGCUCUCCAGCCUGGAUAAUGGUGCAUGGAAUAAUGGAAUAGGACCUCGGUUCUAUUUUGUUGGUUUUCGGAGCGCGAGGUAAUGAUUAAGAGGGACAGACGGGGGCAUUCGUACUGUGCCGUUAGAGGUGAAAUUCUUGGAUCGGCGCAAGACGAACGACUGCGAAAGCAUUUGCCAAGAAUGUUUUCUUUAAUCAAGAGCGAAAGUCAGAGGUUCGAAGACGAUCAGAUACCGUCCUAGUUCUGACUAUAAACGAUGCCAACUAGCGAUCGGGGGGCGUUACAUUGACGACCCCUCCGGCAGCUUACGGGAAACCAAAGUCUUUGGGUUCCGGGGGAAGUAUGGUUGCAAAGCUGAAACUUAAAGGAAUUGACGGAAGGGCACCACCAGGAGUGGAGCCUGCGGCUUAAUUUGACUCAACACGGGAAAUCUCACCCGGCCCGGACACAGUGAGGAUUGACAGAUUGAGAGCUCUUUCUUGAUUCUGUGGGUGGUGGUGCAUGGCCGUUCUUAGUUGGUGGAGCGAUUUGUCUGGUUAAUUCCGAUAACGAACGAGACUCUGGCUUGCUAAAUAGUUACGCGACCAUCCCGGUCGGCGUUUAACUUCUUAGAGGGACAAGUGGCGUUUAGCCACACGAGAUUGAGCAAUAACAGGUCUG